rnacentral:rRNA from 1 species
UGGGGAAUAUUGCACAAUGGGGGGAACCCUGAUGCAGCGAUGCCGCGUGGAGGAAGAAGGUUUUCGGAUUGUAAACUCCUGUCGUAAGGGACGAAAGAAAUGACGGUACCUUACAAGAAAGCUCCGGCUAACUACGUGCCAGCAGCCGCGGUAAUACGUAGGGAGCGAGCGUUGUCCGGAAUUACUGGGUGUAAAGGGAGCGUAGGCGGGGCGGCAAGUCAGAUGUGAAAUAUACGUGCUCAACAUGUAGACUGCAUUUGAAACUGUCGUUCUUGAGUGAGGUAGAGGUAAGCGGAAUUCCUGGUGUAGCGGUGAAAUGCGUAGAGAUCAGGAGGAACAUCGGUGGCGAAGGCGGCUUACUGGGCCUUUACUGACGCUGAGGCUCGAAAGCGUGGGGAGCAAACAGGAUUAGAUACCC